CGUACACUCCUGCGGGAGGCAGCAGUGGGGAAUAUUGCACAAUGGGCGCAAGCCUGAUGCAGCCAUGCCGCGUGUAUGAAGAAGGCCUUCGGGUUGUAAAGUACUUUCAGCGGGGAGGAAGGCAAUACGGUUAAUAACCGUGUUGAUUGACGUUACCCGCAGAAGAAGCACCGGCUAACUCCGUGCCAGCAGCCGCGGUAAUACGGAGGGUGCAAGCGUUAAUCGGAAUUACUGGGCGUAAAGCGCACGCAGGCGGUCUGUCAAGUCGGAUGUGAAAUCCCCGGGCUCAACCUGGGAACUGCAUUCGAAACUGGCAGGCUUGAGUCGUGUAGAGGGGGGUAGAAUUCCAGGUGUAGCGGUGAAAUGCGUAGAGAUCUGGAGGAAUACCGGUGGCGAAGGCGGCCCCCUGGACAAAGACUGACGCUCAGGUGCGAAAGCGUGGGGAGCAAACAGGAUUAGAAACCCGGGUAGUCC
rnacentral:rRNA from 1 species